AAUGCUUUUCCAUUGGACGACUAUGCAACUUGCACGUGUAAUGUGUUGCACAAAAUUGACUCACUGCGGCAUUUACCAUCAACACGUAGUAAGGAAACAGCGGAAAUAGCCAUUUUGAUUUCAAUUUUCAGGCACGUCUUUUGUUCGAGAAUUGGCUCCGAUCAUUGAAUUUGUUUGAAGCAACUAAUCAUGGCUGAUGAAGAACCGAAGGCUGCUGGUCACAGCCCAGCUGUGAAAGUUGGAGGUGCCCGCGUGGUACAGAAGAAGCCUCACAGGGACAGUGAGGGUGAGAGCAAGGAGCCUGCUGCUGUGGACUCGACACAGGCAGUGGGGAUGUUUUCACAGAGCCCGCCGAAGCUGACGGUGACCUCCGGGCAGCCGGUGCCGGACGGCAACAGCCGGGAGUUCCCCACUGAAGCCGUCAACACAUCCACGAGAAGCCCAAGCCGACGCACAUCCAGCCGCGGCCGUCACAGCAGGGCCACUUUAUCCACCAGCCCACCAAGCAGUGAGCGGCCGAUCUUGCCCUUUGAGCUCCGGCCGGCCGGUCACCGGCCGCCGGGCGCGACACGACCCUUCGCCGAAACGCGGCCCGAAGCAUGGCUUUGCUCUCUUGGUUUCAGAGGUGUUCUCAACGUGUGGGCUGCCUGUGAGCUUUAUUCUCCGAAUGUGAGGACCGGUGAAUAUGGAAUGGUAUAAUAAGUAGUGGUUAGUGGGUAUAAAGAGUGCGGCGAUUAUUCUUUGGAUAUUUUUUUAUUGUGGUGUUGGCUCUACUUCCAACUUGUGUCUUUGGGUAUUGUCUUUUGUGUUUGGGAUUGCAGAACUGCUAAACUUUGAAGCUCACAAGGGCAGACUCGGAUUUCACUUGAAAGCUCCUGAACACCAUUUCGAAGUUGUUCAUCUAUCGCUUUACCCACAGGGUUUGUCAUUGGAUAUCCACUGCCUCUCAUAAUAGUUUAUAAAAUAGCAAUAGUUGAGUUGGACGGUUCAUGAUAUGUUGCGGUGUAUUCAUUCCGGAGAACUAAGAUCUGUCCAUGUCUACACGGGUCAGAGUCUGAGAACAGCCAUACGGCGCUCCGAGCGUCCCCCAUCUCCUGGUGCCGCCCUCUCCCCGCUGCCGGCCACGUUGACUGUUUGUCUCCGGCCGAAGGGAGCGCCAUGGGCGGGGGCCCAAUUCUUCGGGUCGUCAGACGGCCUUUGGGAACCAAUUGUCUCUGCGCAUGGCGAGGGGUCGCGGGCCCGCGGGGCGGGGCCUGGUCCCGCCCCUGCGAGGCGGUUUGUGUCAAUAAAGACGGUAAAAUUCC